UCCUCCUUCUAACAGCCAGUUAUGAAUUCUCACAAGGUCACUUGAGGUCAUCCUCAGAUUUAUGAGACGCCGGAUAAUAAGGCAUUCAUCUCUGGCAUUAUAAAGUUGCUUCUGCCCACUACCUGGCUGAUUUUUGGUUUUUCCCAGUGUCUCCUGCUUCACCUUGUUCUUGUGUACUGCUGUCUUAGAAACUUUGGGCCUGGAAGCAGCUGCCUCAUAGUGUAGCCUUCUGCUAGCAGGAUUAAACCAGGAUUUGAAAUGCAGACUUUUUAAAAAUACAGUGGUUUCUUAAUUUUUUUCCUGAGCUGUAGGACGCGCGACAUUGAAUGCAGUAUCAGAUCAAUGGGUAAUGAUGACAAGCAGCCACAAGCCUCAAAAUUCAAUGUAACAGUAAUCUUUAGGUUUGUUAGACUGGUAACCAGUGAAAGUGAGUCUCGCAUCUUGCAGAGUCUGUUCUUUUCAUUAACAGGUAUGUAGACAAUUUAAGGAGCAAUGGCCAUCACACGUAAUGGAUGAGCCUUGAAAAACUGUGGCAUUAACAGUUCUGUACUGCUGUUAAUGUUCCUUGCUUUUACAUCGUGACUGAGAGCUUGAGACUCGUGGUAAACAUUAAGCUUUACCCACAGUAGCAGCUAUGCAUGAAACCAUUUCCUCUUAUCUAUUCCAAGCACCAGUGUUCCAGUUAAUGCUUCUGUACGAUUGUGUUCUCAGCAGAAUCUCUUCCAUCCCAAAUCACGUUCCUCGUGUACAGACAUCAUCCCCCCCCCCCAAUAAAAUCCAAGCACCGCGACAAAAGCAAACAAGCUAAUACUUCAAGUUAUAUAACUGGAAACAUUCGCCCGUGAAACAUUGUUUCUUUCUGAAAUUACUUUUCACUUUCUCCUGUCCAAGAAAACAAAGAAAGAGCCAACAUUCCCUAAAGGGCCAAUAUCCGUCAAACUUUCUGCAGACCAGUUAAGAAAAUCGAUCCCUCGUUGAGAACAAUGCGACAAGCUGAGAUGUUUACGUUCUGUGUAUAUGUGAGUGUAUGAAAGCGUAAUCUGUAUGUCUGCUACACAUCGAGUUUCGCUACCCCUCCAAGGCUGCAGUGCCAGAAUCGGUGUCAUCCAAAGGUUUGUGGAACCUGCAGUGACUUAGAAAUCUAUGCUGAGAAGGCAGGUCCUCAAUCAGGGUCGAAUUUAACAUGGGUGGGGAGCCCAGGGAUAAAGUAAUUCCUGGGGCCCUACUUACAGCAUAAAAUGCUGCAGUAACAACCAGGGGGAAAAAAAUUGAGACCAAAAAACUCGAAAUCAGGUUAAGGCAUGCGUAAGUGCGGUCUGGUCCACAACGCCAAGCACCACUUUAGACUCAAACCCAUGCCACUUUGGCCUCAUCUGCUGUUCCUUUUGUUGCAGAAUGAAGAGGCUCCUGGGAGAGCUGCAUCCUGAAUACAGUUGCGCUGUCUUCUCUAGGCUGAUUCUGGUAAAUUCACUGCAGCCCACUGGAGGGCAUCAGCUAGGCCUGUGGGGGGCCAUGUGAUUUAUUCUGCUGUAAGGCCAGGAAUAUGACCAUGAGAUAUGUUGCCUGGUACAAUAGACGGAGCUUAAAUUUGGCUCCGCUUCUGAUGUCAUAAGCAGGAGGGGGGCAUAUCCUUUAUUCUGAUUGGUCGAGGAGUUAUCUCCAUAUAACAUACAUGUUUAUGCCACAUGUUGCCGAUAGAGGGCCAUAUGGUUUGGGAGAUAAGGGUUGCUGUUAAACUUUAAUAGAAUAAAAAUACAUUACAUGUAUUUACUAAUGUGUUUUUUUUUAUUUCAUCUUUAAAGAAUAAUAAAAACAUAUAGCAGGAUGAAUAUAAGUGCAUAAACGUCCAGCGGGGGUCCGUCCGGCCGUAUCCACGGAUUGUUAGGAGUAGGCACAAGCGCCACGGCGUAUUUUAAAAGAAGAAAGCACCAAAAUGUUUUAAAGAAGGAAAACUUUGGCGUUAUUUUUUUAAAAAAGAAAGAAAAGCAGGAGGAAUUUAAACAAGUACAAACAUGUCCGAAAGAAACAGAAAAGCAAAUGCUGAGUUUAAACAAACACAAGCAAAACCAAUUAACAUACAGCAUGUCGUUUUAAAAGAAGGCAGCACUUAAACUCAUUACAUUUAACCAGCAUGUUAAAAGAAAAACUUUAGCAGUAUUUACCAGUGUUAGGCUGAAGAAAUCAUUUAACAGCAAACUUUUAGAAGAAAUAGCAUGAAAGGCGAAAUGAGCAAGUCCCGGAGGCCAUAUGCAGCUAGUCUGUUUGAACAACGCGGCUGAAACGAUAGACCGAAGUGACUGGCACUUGGAGCAUGCGCACUCACGCAGACAUCCCAUUUCAAAAUGGCGACACCAUCGGAGCGCCUGUUAUUUCAAAUAAAAACCUAUAACCAUAACGUUUUUUAAGUAAUGAAGCACUUUUCUGCCAAUGUGAAUAAUAAAGUAAAGCACUCUAAGCAUUUCGACAGCAACAAUCAAGGAAUAACGCGGUUAAUUCUUGUUUAACUGAACGCAUGCGCUCUGUCUCUCUCUGGCUCGCUCUCAUGUGGCGCAUGUAUGUAGACCCACACACACAGUAUUUUUUCGAGCCAACUCGUUGCGUCAAGCAGCUGUCAAAUUGGAAACAAAAUGGCUACCAGCGGAAAUUGUUGUCGUGAUGCUAACCAACGGCCCCGGAUUGUGAGAAGCAUGCCACCAUCCUGACAGAAUGCACAUUAGAAUAAAGCACUAUAACUUGAAACGACCCUUCAUUUAUCGACGAUCAACUUACGACGCAAAAAUGGAAAUGCUAAACUGGAGAAUUUUCCACGAUGUCAAGCUCGAGUAAGCCCUGUGAAACAGAGGAUUGGAAUAGGAAUAAUCGUGACUGGUCUGCCCCCAACAAGUUAGCCAUAAGCGGAAAAGAACGCAUAGUUUUAACGCGGCUGAAAAAAAUGAAAAAGUGGAUCUAGCAACGGCAACAACCUCAACCGACGGCGUACAGAGCGAGCCGGACGGCCAACUGGAAUCUACGCGACCAGAGACUCCCACAACAGGAAGCAUGACACCGGACCAAGGGGGCUCUGAUCAGAUGUGUGAUUUGUCUGACCAGAUCUAAAGAAUAAGCACGGUCAUACCUGAAAAGCGGAGGCAGUGGAGUUUUGAUGGGUCCGGGGAAUCUAGAAUGAUGCAUAUAAAUGAUGACGACGAUGGUGAAACGCCGAUGAACUCUGAUCUGCUUCAGUUGACUGGUGAACUGAAUGACGGACCACCGGCUGAAAUUAACUCCUUCAUGCUUGCCUUAAUAAAUGAUAUAAA